rnacentral:rRNA from 1 species
CCUACGGGAGGCAGCAGUGGGGGAUAUUGCACAAUGGGGGAAACCCUGAUGCAGCGACGCCGCGUGGGUGAAGAAGCGCCUCGGCGCGUAAAGCUCUGUCAGCAGGGAAGAAAAUGACGGUACCUGAAGAAGAAGCUCCGGCUAACUACGUGCCAGCAGCCGCGGUAAUACGUAGGGGGCAAGCGUUAUCCGGAUUUACUGGGGGUAAAGGGGGCGCAGACGGCGUUGGAAGCCAGGAGUGAAAGCCCGGGGCCCAACCCCGGGACUGCGCUUGGAACUGCGUGGCUAGAGUGCAGGAGGGGCAGGCGGAAUUCCUGGUGUAGCGGUGAAAUGCGUAGAUAUCAGGAGGAACACCGGUGGCGAAGGCGGCCUGCUGGACUGCAACUGACGUUGAGGCCCGAAAGCGUGGGGAGCAAACAGGAUUAGAUACCCUGGUAGUC